rnacentral:rRNA from 1 species
GACAGAGGGUGCAAACGUUGCUCGGAAUCACUGGGCGUAAAGGGCGUGUAGGCGGGAAGGAAAGUCAGAUGUGAAAUCCCCAGGCUCAACCUGGGAACUGCAUUUGAAACUCCCUUUCUUGAGUACCGGAGAGGAAAGUGGAAUUCCUGGUGUAGAGGUGAAAUUCGUAGAUAUCAGGAGGAACACCAGUGGCGAAGGCGGCUACCUGGACCGGUUCUGACGCUGAGGCGCGAAAGCGUGGGUAGCAAACAGG